rnacentral:rRNA from 1 species
GAUGAACGCUGGCGGCGUGCCUAAUACAUGCAAGUCGAGCGAACUUUUGGGAGCUUGCUCCCAAAAGUUAGCGGCGGACGGGUGAGUAACACGUGGGUAACCUGCCUGUAAGACUGGGAUAACUUCGGGAAACCGGAGCUAAUACCGGAUAACAUUGAAGACCACAUGGCCUUCAUUUAAAAGGUGGCUUUUAGCUACCACUUACAGAUGGACCCGCGGCGCAUUAGCUAGUUGGUGAGGUAACGGCUCACCAAGGCGACGAUGCGUAGCCGACCUGAGAGGGUGAUCGGCCACACUGGGACUGAGACACGGCCCAGACUCCUACGGGAGGCAGCAGUAGGGAAUCUUCCGCAAUGGACGAAAGUCUGACGGAGCAACGCCGCGUGAGCGAAGAAGGCCUUCGGGUCGUAAAGCUCUGUUGUUAGGGAAGAACAAGUAUCGUUCGAAUAGGGCGGUACCUUGACGGUACCUAACCAGAAAGCCACGGCUAACUACGUG